CCUACGGGGGGCUGCAGUAGGGAAUCUUCCACAAUGGGCGCAAGCCUGAUGGAGCAACACCGCGUGAGUGAAGAAGGGUUUCGGCUCGUAAAGCUCUGUUGUUGGAGAAGAACGUGCGUGAGAGUAACUGUUCACGCAGUGACGGUAUCCAACCAGAAAGUCACGGCUAACUACGUGCCAGCAGCCGCGGUAAGACGUAGGUGGCAAGCGUUAGCCGGAUUUAGUGGGCGUAAAGCGAGCGCAGGCGGUCGCUUAGGUCUGAUGUGAAAGCCUUCGGCUUACCCGAAGAAGUGCAUCGGAAACCGGGCGACUUGCGUGCAGCAGCGGACAGUGGCACUCCCUGUGUCGCGGUGGAAUGCGUAUAUAUAUGG
rnacentral:rRNA from 1 species